rnacentral:rRNA from 1 species
GGAAUAUUGGACAAUGGGGGCAACCCUGAUCCAGCAAUGCCGCGUGUGUGAAGAAGGCCUGCGGGUUGUAAAGCACUUUCAGAGGGGAAGAAAAAAUCGGAUCUAACACAUCCGAGCUUGACGUUACCCUUAGAAGAAGCACCGGCUAACUCCGUGCCAGCAGCCGCGGUAAUACGGGGGGAGCAAGCGUUGUUCGGAUUUACUGGGCGUAAAGGGCGCGUAGGCGGCCACCGCAAGUCGACUGUGAAAUCUCCGGGCUUAACCCGGAAAGGUCAGCCGAUACUGCGGGGCUAGAGUGCAGAAGGGGCAACUGGAAUUCUCGGUGUAGCGGUGAAAUGCGUAGAUAUCGAGAGGAACACCUGCGGCGAAGGCGGGUUGCUGGGCUGACACUGACGCUGAGGCGCGAAAGCUAGGGGAGCGAA